GACGAACGCUGGCGGCGUGCCUAAUACAUGCAAGUUGAGCGCUGAAGGUUGGUACUUGUCCCAACUGGCUGAGCAGCGAACGGGUGAGUAACGCGUGGGUAAUCUGCCUUUGAGCGGGGGACAACAUUUGGAAACGAAUGCUAAUACCGCAUAAAAACUUUAAACACAAGUUUUAAGUUUGAAAGAUGCAAUUGCAUCACUUAAAGAUGAUCCCGCGUUGGAUUAGCUAGUUGGUGAGGUAAAGGCUCACCAAGGCGAUGAUACAUAGCCGACCUGAGAGGGGGAUCGGCCAACAUGGGAACGAGACACGGCCCAAAACCCUAAGGGAGGCAGCAGUAGGGGAUCUUCGGCAAUGGACGAAAGUCUGAACGAGGAACGGCGGGUGAGGGAAGAAGGGUGUCGGAUCGUAAAACUCUGUUGGUAGAGAAGAACGUUGGUGGGAGUGGAAAGCUCAUAAAGUGACGGUAACUACCCAGAAAGGGACGGCUAACUACGUG
rnacentral:rRNA from 1 species